rnacentral:rRNA from 1 species
GAUGAACGCUGGCGGCGUGCCUAACACAUGCAAGUCGAGCGAUUCUCUUCGGAGAAGAGCGGCGGACGGGUGAGUAACGCGUGGGUAACCUGCCCUGUACACACGGAUAACAUACCGAAAGGUAUGCUAAUACGAGAUAAUAUACUUUUAUCGCAUGGUAGAAGUAUCAAAGCUCCGGCGGUACAGGAUGGACCCGCGUCUGAUUAGCUAGUUGGUAAGGUAACGGCUUACCAAGGCGACGAUCAGUAGCCGACCUGAGAGGGUGAUCGGCCACAUUGGAACUGAGACACGGUCCAAACUCCUACGGGAGGCAGCAGUGGGGAAUAUUGCACAAUGGGCGAAGCCUGAUGCAGCAACGCCGCGUGAGCGAUGAA